rnacentral:rRNA from 1 species
GGGCAGCAGUCGCGAAAACUCCGCAAUACGCGAAAGCGUGACGGGGCCAUCCCGAGUGCCGUCCGCUGAGGAUGGCUUUUCCCCUGUGUAGAUAGCUGGGGGAAUAAGGAGAGGGCAAGUCUGGUGUCAGCCGCCGCGGUAAUACCAGCUCUUCGAGUGGUAGGGAUGUUUAUUGGGCCUGAAGCAUCCGUAGCUGGCUGAACAAGUCCUCCGUUAAAUCCAGCGAUUUAAUCGUUGGAUUGCGGGGGAUACUGCUCGGCUAGGGGGUGGGAGAGGCCAACGGUAUUCUCGGGGUAGGGGUGAAUCCUAUAAUCCCGGGAGUACCACCAGUGGCGAAGGCUCGUGACUAUAACACUCCCUACAGUGAAUUAUGAAAGCUGGGGGAGCGAACCGGAUUAGAUACCCGGGUAGUCC